UCCCUGGUAGUCUAGUCGUCAGGAUUUGGUGCUUUUGCCGCCAUGGCCUGGGUUCAAUUCCCAGUCAGGGAA
rfam:Scleropages formosus scaffold27176, whole genome shotgun sequence.